UUAAAGAUAGUGGCCCUGGAGUCCAG
rnacentral:piRNA from 1 species